UACGUAGGGGGCAAGCGUUAUCCGGAUUUACUGGGUGUAAAGGGAGCGUAGACGGCCUUGCAAGUCUGGUGUGAAGGCCCGGGGCUCAACCCCGGGACUGCAUUGGAAACUGCAUGGCUGGAGUGCAGGAGAGGUAAGCGGAAUUCCUAGUGUAGCGGUGAAAUGCGUAGAUAUUAGGAGGAACACCAGUGGCGAAGGCGGCUUACUGGACUGUAACUGACGUUGAGGCUCGAAAGCGUGGGGAGCAAACAGG
rnacentral:rRNA from 1 species